CCCUGGCGGCGGGCGCACUGCUCGCACGCUCGCCCUGGGGCUGCAGAUCGGCUUGCGGGACGGGGUCCCAGAGAGGCCGGUCCACGCGGCCCGCACGCGCGAGUGUUAGCUCUGCACACGACGGAAGGCGGAGGCGCGGGUGGCUGCCGUUUCACCUUAGAGGGAGGGAGGGAAACGUGUCCUGAUUUCUGCACCUAAGGUGCUGGAAACCUUACCCUUGCACUUCCACCGUUUCUUUCCUUGUCCUGAAAAGGUCUCUUUUACCCGCUUCACUUCGCUAUCUACACAGUUUGCACUUGCACUGACUCAGAUCUUGUCCUGUCUGGUAAGCUGUGACCCUCAGCCAGCCUGGGUAGCUGCCCUUGAACCAGAGGUUGGGGUCUGGCAGUUUCUAUAGGCGUCCUCAGGCUCGGUCUGCAAGGGGCUUGCCUCUUUCUUCUGGGGUCUUCUCGCCCCCAUGCCUUCUCAGUUGUGGUGAUUAUACCAGAAGGAACGUGGGAGAAGUAUAAUGGAGAAUGCUUAGUCACUGGACAAUGAUUUCGAAAGUUCGGCUGGCUGAGGAAACAAGAGUUUUGUGUAAUGUCUGUGACUUACUCAAUGGUUCUAGGAGGCACGAGACUGAGUUUCUUUGGGCUCUGCUCGCCUACUCUUAAGGGGCUCUACCUUCUUAGGGUGAACUCGGCACCCACCUAGAACCUCCAGUGUGUGAAAGGGCCUACCUACCUCAUUGGGCCCCAACCUCCAGCCUCUUGUGAGAGUGACGACCAGCCCCAAAAUGGCUGCACACAAACAAGACCCUAAGAUGGAGUCUCGCUCUGUUGCCAGGCUGGAGUGCAGUGGCACGAUUUUGGCUCACUGCAACCUCUGCCUCCUGGAUUCAAGUGAUCCUCCUGCCUCAGACUCCCAAGACUGAGACUACAGCUGUGUGCCACCACACCUGGCUAAUUUUGUAUUUUUUAGUAGAGACAGGGUUUCACCAUGUUGGCCAGGAUAGUCUCGAUCUCCUGACCUCGUGAUGCACCCGUCUCGGCCUCCCAAAGUGCUGGGAUUACAGGUGUGAGCCACCGUGCCUGGUUGGAACUUCUUAGAGAUUGAUUUAGUGGUUGUGACCAAAAUGCUGAUAGAAAUAUAGACAAUAAAGGUCAUGCUGAGGAAGUCUCAGAUGGAAAUGAAGAACUUAUUGAAAACUGGAGCAAAGGUCACCCUUGUUAAACAGUAGCAAAGAACUUGGCUGCAUUGUGUCUAGGCCCUAUGGCUUUAUAGAAGGCUGAACUUAAGAAUGAUGACCUAGGGUAUCUGGCAGAAGAAAUUGCUAAGCAACAAAGUACUCAAGAAGUGGUGUGGCUACUUUUAAAAGCCUAUGCUAAAUUAUGGGAGCUAAGGAAUGACUAGAAAGUGGAAUUUAUAAUUAAAAGGGAAGCAAAGUGUAAAAAUUUGGAAAUUUCAUAGCCUGGCCAUGUGAUAGAGAAGGAAAGAGCAUUUGUAGGCAAGGAAUCCAAGAGUUUGAGGAAUCUGAGGGUGCUACAGAGCAACCAUUGCUAAAGAGAUUAGUGUGACUAAACCAGAGCCAAGUGUUACUAGUCAAGACGAUGUGAAAAAGGCCCUGAAGGCAUUUCAGAAAACUUUGAGGCUGACCCCUCCAUCAUAGGCCCAGAAUCCUAGGAUGACAGAAUGGUUUGGGUAGAGGACAGGCCUAGAGACUGCUCCCCUGUGACCAGUCUGCUGCUUCCUGUAUCCCCACCACUCCGGAUGGCACAGCCAUGGCUCACAUGGCCUCAGUGGCCCCAGGUGUGAGUCAUGUCACAGCUCUGGAGGGCAUAAGCCAUAAGUCUUGCUGGUGUCUACACAGUAUUAAGUCUGCAGGUGCCCAGAAUGCAAAAGUCAUGGAGGCUUGGCAGCUUCCACUUAGAUUUCAGAGGAUGUAUUGGAAAGCCUGGAUGCCCAGGCAGAAGUCUGCUGCGGGGCAGAGCCAACACAGAGUGUCCUCUCUGGGGUAAUGCCUAGGGGAGCCAUGGGAUUGGGGCUGCUGCUGCAAGGACCCAAGAAUUAUAGUCAUCAGCAGUGUGCAGCCUCAGCCUGGAAAAGCCAUGGGCAUUCAACUCCAACCUGUGAGAGCAGCCAGUGGCCUUGGGAGUAGGGCUGCUUGAGACUGUGGGAGUCCACUCCUCAUACCAGUGUACCCAGGAUGCAAGACAUACAGUCAAGGAUUAUUUUGGAGCUUUAAAAUUUAACAUCUGUCCUGCUGGGUUUUGGACUUGAUGGGGACUGUUACUCCUUUUUUUUUGGAAUGAUUUCUCCCUUUUGGGAUGGGACUGUUUAUCCAAUACAUGUACCACCAUUGUAUCUUGGAAGGAAACAACUUGUUUUUGAUUUCACAGUUAAUUCGCCUUGAGUCUCAGAUGGGACUUUGGAUUUUGAAGUUGAUGCUGGAACAAGUUAAGACUUUUGGAACUAUUGAGAAGGGAUGAUUAUAUUUUGCAGCAUGAAGAAGACAUGAGUUUUGGGGGGCCAGGGGAGGAAUGCUAUGGUUUGGAUGUUUGUCUCCCCAAAUCACAUGUUGAAAUUUGAUCCCAAUGUUAGAGGUGAGACCUAGUGGCGGGUGUUUGAGUCAGAGGGUGGACUUAUGAAUAGAUUAAUACCCUCCUAUGGUGCAGGGCAUGAAUACAAUUCUUACUCUGUUGGUUCUUUUAAGAGCUGGUUGUUAUAAAGAGCCUGGCACCUCCCCACUCUCUCUCUUGCUUCGCUUCUUGCCAUGUGAUCUCUACAUACACCGGCUUCCCUUUGCCUUCUGCCAUGAGUAGAAGCAGCCUAAGGGCCUCACAUGCAGAUGCAGGUUCCAUGCUUCUUGUGCACUCUGCAAAACCAAAUAAAUCUCUUUAUGAAUUA